rnacentral:rRNA from 1 species
CCUACGGGUGGCAGCAGUGAGGAAUAUUGGUCAAUGGGCGCUAGCCUGAACCAGCCAAGUAGCGUGAAGGAUGACUGCUCUCUGUGUUGUAAACUUCUUUUAUAGGGGCAUACAGUGCAGUCUGUAUACUGCUUUGCAUGUACCUUAUGAAUAGGGAUCGGCUAACUCCGUGCCAGCAGCCGCGGUAAUACGGAGGAUCCGAGCGUUAUCCGGAUUUAUUGGGUUUAAAGGGAGCGUAGGCGGGUUGUUAAGUCAGUUGUGAAAGUUUGCGGCUCAACCGUAACAUUGCAUUUGAUACUGGCAUGCUUGAGUGCAGUAGAGGUAGGCGGAAUUCGUGGUGUAGCGGUGAAAUGCGUAGAUAUUACGAGGAACACCGAUGGCGAAGGCAGCCUGCUGGACUGUAACUGACGCUGAUGCUCGAAAGCGUGGGUAUCAAACAGGAUUAGAUACCCGGGUAGUC